rnacentral:rRNA from 1 species
UACGGAGGGGGCUAGCGUUGUUCGGAAUUACUGGGCGUAAAGCGCACGUAGGCGGCUUUGUAAGUUAGAGGUGAAAGCCCAGGGCUUAACCCUGGAAUUGCCUUUAAGACUGCAUCGCUAGAAUCGUGGAGAGGUAAGUGGAAUUCCGAGUGUAGAGGUGAAAUUCGUAGAUAUUCGGAAGAACCCCAGUGGCGAAGGCGACUUACUGGACACGUAUUGACGCUGAGGUGCGAAAGCGUGGGGAGCAAACAGG